AUUGAACGCUGGCGGAAUGCUUUACACAUGCAAGUCGAGCGGCAGCGCGGGGCAACCUGGCGGCGAGCGGCGAACGGGUGAGUAAUGCAUCGGAACAUGUCCAUGUCGUGGGGGAUAGCCCGGCGAAAGCCGGAUUAAUACCGCAUACGCCCGAGAGGGGAAAGUGGGGGACCGCAAGGCCUCACGCGAUUGGGUUGGCCGAUGUCCGAUUAGCUAGUUGGUGGGGUAAAGGCUUACCAAGGCGACGAUCGGUAGCUGGUCUGAGAGGAUGAUCAGCCACACUGGGACUGAGACACGGCCCAGACUCCUACGGGAGGCAGCAGUGGGGAAUUUUGGACAAUGGGGGCAACCCUGAUCCAGCCAUGCCGCGUGAGUGAAG
rnacentral:rRNA from 1 species